rnacentral:piRNA from 1 species
UACAGAGUAUCACCCAUUCUCACACCCCA